GUGGAUGUAGAAAAUAAUAAAAGUAACAUGAACCUGUAGUCGGUGAAGGCAGCGUGAUAGACGUGCUUUACGUAGAAGUCACGUGAUUACGUCAACAAAAACAAACAUGGCGCCGCGAAAGUGAGGAAAAGUCUGCUAUGGUCAGUCAGACACACCCUGACACUGAAGCAUCACUCAGGAGAGUUUAACCUCCUCUGUGAGGUCCACGUCCUGUCGGUCUCAGAGCCCAGUAUUCCCAGGAAGUCCCGCACCCCACCCAGAGAGAUCAGCAACCUGCAAGGUUCCUAAAUUCUCAGAGACGGACGGAGAACAGACUGGGCAGAGUCACAGUCGCUGUAUAAGUCCAGCGUUUGGCAGGACCGGACGACGACAGGAGAUUCGUCUCGAUGUGCAGAAAUGCUCAGAGUCUGUGAGUCCUUGUCCUGUUACCCAAAGUCCUUCUCAGAGUCUGAGGCUGGACGGCGAGACUGAUCACCAUCAAGACAUUAGGUCUAACGAGCCGUCCAAGUCGGGUACGCUGAAACAUUACGGAGGUUUUCUCUCAGCUGGACGACCAGUUUACCAGACUGCAACACCUCCUGUUUGUUGAACUGAGCGAAAGAUUUACGUCUUCUGUGGGAACCAGUGGGUUCAGAGCUGAGAGUCACAGACAGGAAGACAGAACGUGUUGAGCCUUUGUGAAGACUCACCUGUUCACUGCAGUUUCGGUCAUGACCCAAAGUUCAUGACCAUAGGUGAGGGUGGGAACGUAGAUUGACUGGUAAAUUGAGAUCUUCACCUUACGGCUCAGCUCUCUCUUUACCACGACGGACCGAUACAACGACCGCAUUACUGCUGUCGCUGCGCCAAAGUUUAUCUGUUCAGCUCAAGAGUUGUUUCACACGUCCUCAGAUCACCCAUGUGGUAUUUUUCACCAUAUUAUGCAGAGUCCCAGAAAACUGUUUUUAACCAGUUGAAACUGAAAACUGCAAAGGCUGCCUGCAAGCUUCUUUCAUCCAGCACCUCCUGAAUGGAGCAGGUAGCAAAGAGAUGUGUGAGAUGUAAUAUUUACACCACGCUUAAGCAGACUUCAGUUAAAUUUACAGACCUUUUCUAAAUGCUAACCAGGCUGUUUUUGGUUUUAAGAAGCUCGGGCUUCAGGUGACUGGAGUCUCCUUAGUUAGUGUCUGGCAAUUUAUUAGCUAUUGACUUUAUGAUUGGUAAUGAUCUGUUAUAUUUCUGUGCUUAACUGUGAAUUGGAGAUGAAGUCCUGAAAAAUAGAAAACGGUAGCUUUUCAAUAUUAUUCAGUCUCAGCACUUUGAAGCACAUGAGGACAAGAUUUUUGCACAUAAAACUCUCAAAACUCACAAAAAGUCUCUUUAAUGUGGAAUUGGUCAAAUUUGACUAUGUUUGUUGUAUGCGUUGCUACUUCUCACAAAAACAUGCAAAUGCGUGGCUUAUUUUUUUUGUUCCUCAGUCCAAAUGGGUUAUUUUUUUCCCCUUGUGUGUCACCAGUAUGUUUAGUGUAUGUGAAAGCGGAUAUUUUGGUGAAUGUGGAUUAAGGUGCAGCGCCACCCGGCGGUGACACGCAGACAGUACGCAGCCAGUAUCUCGCACUGAGAAAGUGGGACGAGUUGCGUUUCUGUCAGCACUGACUCAGUGACAACGACAGUCGGAAAUAAUGGGAAAGUGUUUCUACAUGAGCUCCUAAUUGCUCUCCAAAAUGAACUUCAGCAGGACUUUCAGACUCUCCUGAAAGUUAAGCCGUCCCGCUCUUCUCUCGGCUUAUUAAACUGCUUGUUGAGGUUAAAGAAGGAUCGUGAUUGGAUAUUAUUUGAUUCGACUCGGGCUCCAGCUGCUGUUGUAGCAACAUAUUUGAUCAGUUUCAGAUCUGGUCUGGGCGC